AGUGAACGCUGGCGGUAGGCCUAACACAUGCAAGUCGAACGGCAGCACAGUAAGAGCUUGCUCUUACGGGUGGCGAGUGGCGGACGGGUGAGGAAUACAUCGGAAUCUACUUUUUCGUGGGGGAUAACGUAGGGAAACUUACGCUAAUACCGCAUACGACCUACGGGUGAAAGCAGGGGAUCUUCGGACCUUGCGCGAUUGAAUGAGCCGAUGUCGGAUUAGCUAGUUGGCGGGGUAAAGGCCCACCAAGGCGACGAUCCGUAGCUGGUCUGAGAGGAUGAUCAGCCACACUGGAACUGAGACACGGUCCAGACUCCUACGGGAGGCAGCAGCGGGGAAUAUUGGACAAUGGGCGCAAGCCUGAUCCAGCCAUACCGCGUGGGUGAAGAAGGCCAUCGGGUUGUAAAGCCCUUUUGUUGGGAAAGAAAAGCAGCAGGUUAAUACCCCGCUGUUCUGACGGUACCCAAAGAAUAAGCACCGGCUAACUUCGUG
rnacentral:rRNA from 1 species